CGUGUAGGCGGCCAGGUAGGUCCGCUGUGAAAACUCGAGGCUCAACCUCGAGACGUCGGCGGAAACCCUCUGGCUAGAGUCCGGAAGAGGAGAAUGGAAUUCCUGGUGUAGCGGUGAAAUGCGCAGAUAUCAGGAAGAACACCCGUGGCGAAGGCGGUUCUCUGGGACGGUACUGACGCUGAGACGCGAAAGCGUGGGGAGCGAACA
rnacentral:rRNA from 1 species